CGAGUCGGACUCGCCCAUGAAGGGUUCCGUAGCAGCAAGUAACAUAAUAAAAUUGCGGUUUACGAUUUAUGACGUAUUAAAAAAAAACUACUUACUAGAUCUCGUUCAAACCAAUUUUCGAUGGAAGUUUGCAUGGUAAUGUACAUCAUAUAUUUUUUUUGUUUUAUCAUUCUCUUAGUUUAGAAGUUACAGGGGGGGAGGGACAUACAUUUUACCACUUUGGAAGUGUCUCUCGCGCAAACUAUUCAGCUUAGGGAAAAAUGAUAUUAGAGACCUCAAUAUCAUUUUUGAAGACCUAUCCUAUGGAUUCUAAGUAUGGGGAACCCCAAAAUUUAUUGUUUAUUUUUUAUUUUUGUGUGAAAAUCUUAAUGCGGUUCACAGAAUACAUCUACUUACCAAGUUUCAACGUAUAGUUCUUAUAGUUUCGGAAAAAAGUGGCUGUGACAUACACGGACAGACAGACAGACAUGACGAAUCCAUAAGGGUUCCGUUUUUUGCCAUUUGGCUACGGAACCCUAAAAACGG